rnacentral:rRNA from 1 species
UACGGGGGGAGCAAGCGUUGUUCGGAUUUACUGGGCGUAAAGGGCGCGUAGGCGGCGCAACAAGUCACUUGUGAAAUCUCCGGGCUUAACCCGGAGCGGUCAAGUGAUACUGUCGUGCUAGAGUGCGGAAGGGGCAACUGGAAUUCUCGGUGUAGCGGUGAAAUGCGUAGAUAUCGAGAGGAACACCUGCGGUGAAGACGGGUUGCUGGGCUGACACUGACGCUGAGGCGCGAAAGCUAGGGUAGCAAACGGG